AUUGAACGCUGGCGGCAGGCCUAACACAUGCAAGUCGAACGGUAACAGGAAGAAGCUUGCUUCUUUGCUGACGAGUGGCGGACGGGUGAGUAGUGUCUGGGAAACUGCCUGAUGGAGGGGGAUAACUACUGGAAACGGUAGCUAAUACCGCAUAACGUCGCAAGACCAAAGAGGGGGACCUUCGGGCCUCUUGCCAUCGGAUGUGCCCAGAUGGGAUUAGCUAGUAGGUGGGGUAACGGCUCACCUAGGCGACGAUCCCUAGCUGGUCUGAGAGGAUGACCAGCCACACUGGAACUGAGACACGGUCCAGACUCCUACGGGAGGCAGCAGUGGGGAAUAUUGCACAAUGGGCGCAAGCCUGAUGCAGCCAUGCCGCGUGUAUGAAGAAGGCCUUCGGGUUGUAAAGUACUUUCAGCGGGGAGGAAGGGAGUAAAGUUAAUACCUUUGCUCAUUGACGUUACCCGCAGAAGAAGCACCGGCUAACUCCGU
rnacentral:rRNA from 1 species